UCUCCCACCCAGCUCCCGAGAGAGAGCCUUACAUCAGCGCCCCGGCGGGCGCAGGCUGGGGGAGAUCUGGGAUGGGGGUGGGAGGACGAAAAUAGGCUGCAGUUUCCACCGAGACAAAGGUGGCACGCCUCAGAGCCGGGAAACACACUCGAUGCACGGAGCCGGGAAACACACUCGAUGCACGGGGCAGUCCCUCCCAGCCGGAGUGGGCCGGAGAGGCAGCCCCGCUGGAUUCGCGUGCCCUACGGAGUUUUGAAGGUCACCAUCGACCUGCCGGAAGGCAUAAUGUAUCGUUACAUGAAGAACUCACAAAGCAAUGUGGAGCAGGGCAGAUGCCAAAGGGAAACCUUCCAAAAUCGUUUUGGUCCAGGACUCUGCUGGAUCUCCCAAGACUAGACGCAGAAGACCAUCAACCAAGACCUGUCAUCCAGAUGACGAAAAAGGGGGUCUGUGAUGGAAAAUAACUUUUCUCCUACACUAGGAAUCAUCCUCUUAUAGGAAGAGCAUUAAAAAAAAAGAAUGAGAACAAAUUUCCCAAGGAACAAAUGAUACGCUUAGAGAUGUGUAUUUCUAACAGUGCCUCUCACGUCACUGCUUCCACCUUGCACACUCACACGAACCCUGUUGACGUGUCCCUCGAUCCACAGCUCCACUAAAGCAUUCCCGUAUGCCUUCCUGUUCUACAACUUUCAGCAAAGCAAGAUC